AGAACUUUGAGGUUACCAGCUAAGUGCCGAUCUUCAGAGAGAUUCUCGGCUCUUUGCUCUGACAGGCAUAGAGGAGGAAUUUUGAUUCCAGCCAUACCACAGUGAAGAUACACAUGGUAAUUGUGGUGUGUAAUUACCAUGGGGCUCCCAAGAGAGCCACAAGAGAAGCCCGAAAGAUCUCAGGAGAAUGCCAUCCUGACUCUGGCAAAGUGAGAUCAAUCACCUCAAGAAAUGGCAAAGGCUCCAGGUCAGACAGACAAGAUGGAUUAGUCAACCAGAGUCCCAAUCAGGAGAGGAGCUAAGAUUUUGUAGUUCUUGCAUUUGCAGAACUGUUCCCGGGAACAAAUCCCCAGCGCAGUAAUUCAGCUAAAACGAAGCCGAC
rnacentral:lncRNA from 12 species